GUCUCUUGCUCCAGCCAGAGCUCGAGGUUAGCUCUUCACUGCCCUGUGUCUUCUUUCCAAGGGUCUCGGUGAUUCGGCCACAGCCUCAGCCUCCAUCACGCGGUGAACUGAUGGUGCUGGAAGAUUCAUAGACUCCAGGACAUUCCUGAAGCCGAGAAAAGGUUAAGUAGGGUCUGGCCUGGAAUACUCUCCUAGAUGAAGAUAGCCCAACCAUGAGCCACCUUCGAAGCAGAUGAGAUGAAAUUAAAGCUCUUCAACUCCUAAAGGCCCAGAGACUAUCACAAAAGAGGUCAGAAAUCCUGAAGGUCACUUUCUGACAAACUCAGGAACCCCAGGUUUAUCUUGGAGCCUCAAGAGGAGAUAAAUUCACCCAACUCAGGCUGGAGUGCAGUGGAAUGAUCUUGGCUCACUUCCGUCUCCGCCUUCCAGUUUCAAGUGAUUCUCCUGCCUCAGCCUACUGAGUAGUUGGGAUUACAGGUGCCUGCCACCACACCCAGCUAAUUUUUGUAUUUUUAGUAAAGAUGGGGUUUCACCAUGUUGGCCAGGCUGGUCUCAAACUCCUGACGUCAUGAUCUGCCCGCUUCAGUCUCCCAAAGUGUGAUUACAGGUGUGAGCCACCAUGCCUGGCAAGGCAUUCUUUUUUAUUAGGGGGGUGUUGUUUAUUACCUCUUCUAUAGAAAAGUAAAGACAUUAAAAUGUAAGAUGCAUAAUAAAAAUCUAAGUGGAGAGGCUCUUAUAACCUAUAAUAUUGAGUGAUGCAUCAGGUAGGUGUUCAGAGUAAUCUGCAUUAUCAUGAGAAGAAAACAUGUUUAAUUUUAUUUAAAAUUAAAUGAGUAGUAUAUUAUUGUACUAAUUGUACUAAUUUUUUCUGAGACAGAGUUUUGCUCUUGGUGCCCAGGCUGGAGUGCAUUGGCACGAUCUCUGGCUCACUGUGACCUCUGCCUCCCAGAUUCAAGUGAUU
rnacentral:lncRNA from 1 species